rnacentral:misc_RNA from 1 species
CCGAGUUAUACAACUCAUCAACCCUGUGAACAUACCUAUAACGUUGCCUCGGCGGGAACAGACGGCCCCGUAACACGGGCCGCCCCCGCCAGAGGACCCCCUAACUCUGUUUCUAUAAUGUUUCUUCUGAGUAAACAUGCAAAUAAAUUA